rnacentral:rRNA from 1 species
GAAUAUGGGGGGACCAUCCUCCAAGGCUAAAUACUCCUGACUGACCGAUAGUGAACCAGUACCGUGAGGGAAAGGCGAAAAGAACCCCGGCGAGGGGAGUGAAAAAGAACCUGAAACCGUGUACGUACAAGCAGUGGGAGCACGCUUAGGCGUGUGACUGCGUACCUUUUGUAUAAUGGGUCAGCGACUUAUAUUCUGUAGCAAGGUUAACCGAAUAGGGGAGCCGAAGGGAAACCGAGUCUUAACUGGGCGUUAAGUUGCAGGGUAUAGACCCGAAACCCGGUGAUCUAGCCAUGGGCAGGUUGAAGGUUGGGUAACACUAACUGGAGGACCGAACCGACUAAUGUUGAAAAAUUAGCGGAUGACUUGUGGCUGGGGGUGAAAGGCCAAUCAAACCGGGAGAUAGCUGGUUCUCCCCGAAAGCUAUUUAGGUAGCGCCUCGUGAAUUCAUCUCCGGGGGUAGAGCACUGUUUCGGCAAGGGGGUCAUCCCGACUUACCAACCCGAUGCAAACUGCGAAUACCGGAGAAUGUUAUCACGGGAGACACACGGCGGGUGCUAACGUCCGUCGUGAAGAGGGAAACAACCCAGACCGCCAGCUAAGGUCCCAAAGUCAUGGUUAAGUGGGAAACGAUGUGGGAAGGCCCAGACAGCCAGGAUGUUGGCUUAGAAGCAGCCAUCAUUUAAAGAAAGCGUAAUAGCUCACUGGUCGAGUCGGCCUGCGCGGAAGAUGUAACGGGGCUAAACCAUGCAC